rnacentral:rRNA from 1 species
CCUACGGGAGGCAGCAGUGAGGAAUAUUGGUCAAUGGACGAGAGUCUGAACCAGCCAAGUAGCGUGAAGGAUGACGGCCCUCUGGGUUGUAAACUUCUUUUAUAUGGGAAUAAAAUGUUCCACGUGUGGGAUUUUGUAUGUACCAUAUGAAUAAGGAUCGGCUAACUCCGUGCCAGCAGCCGCGGUAAUACGGAGGGUCCGAGCGUUAUCCGGAUUUAUUGGGUGUAAAGGGAGCGUAGGUGGAAUGUCAAGUCAGUUGUGAAAGUUUGCGGCUCAACCGUAAGAUUGCAGUUGAAACUGGCAGUCUUGAGUACAGUAGAGGUGGGCGGAAUUCGUGGUGUAGCGGUGAAAUGCUUAGAUAUCACGAAGAACUCCGAUUGCGAAGGCAGCUUACUGGACUGCAACUGACGCUGAGGCUCGAAAGUGUGGGUAUCAAACAGGAUUAGAUACCCCUGUAGUC